rnacentral:rRNA from 1 species
CCUACGGGUGACAGCAGUAGGGAAUAUUGCUCAAUGGGCGCAAGCCUGAACCAGCCAAGUCGCGUGAGGGAUGACGGUCCUAUGGAUUGUAAACCUCUUUUGUCGGGGAGCAAGGCCCGCCACGUGUGGCGGGAAGGAGAGUACCCGAAGAAAAAGCAUCGGCUAACCCCGUGCCAGCAGCCGCGGUAAUACGGAGGAUGCGAGCGUUAUCCGGAUUUAUUGGGUUUAAAGGGUGCGUAGGCGGAAGGUUAAGUCAGCGGUAAAAUGUCGGUGCUCAACAGCGGCCUGCCGUUGAAACUGGUCUUCUUGAGUGAGCGAGAAGUAUGCGGAAUGCGUGGUGUAGCGGUGAAAUGCAUAGAUAUCACGCAGAACUCCGAUUGCGAAGGCAGCAUACCGGCGCUCAACUGACGCUGAGGCACGAAAGCGUGGGGAUCGAACAGGAUUAGAUACCCGUGUAGUC